AUGCAUUAUACUCACAUCAAAAAACAGGUCGGGGUUAUCCUUAAGCUUGACUUUGAGAAAACUUACGAAAACGUUAACUGGGAUUUCCUUCUUGAUUGUCAUGUUAAACGAGGGUUUAAUGAUAAAUGGUGUGGCUGGGUAUCUCAAAUUGUUCGUAAUGGUACAAUUAGUGUAAAGAUUAAUGAUGAGACGGGUCCAUAUAUCCAGAGUGAUAAAGGGGUUCGCCAGGGGGACCCUUACUCCCCUUUCUUAUUCAACUUGGCGGCUGAGGGCCUCACUAAGAUGGUGUUGGCUACCCAGAAAAAUAAUCUGUUUCAGGGCUUGGUCUCCGAUCUUAUUGAUGGGGGUAUGGGCAUUUUGCAGUAUGCCGAUGAUACGAUCCUAUGCAUUUCUAAUGAUGUGGAAAAGGCCAAAAAAUGUUAA
rnacentral:rRNA from 1 species